rnacentral:rRNA from 1 species
CCUACGGGUGGCAGCAGUGGGGGAUAUUGCUCAAUGGGGGAAACCCUGAUGCAGCGACGCCGCGUGGGUGAAGAAGCGCCUCGGCGCGUAAAGCUCUGUCAGCAGGGAAGAAAAUGACGGUACCUGAAGAAGAAGCCCCGGCUAACUACGUGCCAGCAGCCGCGGUAUUACGUAGGGGGCAAGCGUUAUCCGGAUUUACUGGGUGUAAAGGGGGCGCAGACGGCGAUGCAAGCCAGGGGUGAAAGCCCGGGGCCCAACCUCGGGAUUGCUGUUGGAACGGGGUGGCUAGAGUGCAGAAGGGGAGGGCGGAAUUCAUGGUGUAGCGGUGAAAUGCGUAGAUAUCAGGAGGAACACCGGUGGCGAAGGCGAGCUGCUGGACUGCAACUGACGUUGAGGCCCGAAAGCGUGGGGAGCAAACAGGAUUAGAUACCCGGGUAGUC